GACGAACGCUGGCGGCGUGCUUAACACAUGCAAGUCGAACGGAAACGCCCUGCUUUUGUGGGGUGCUCGAGUGGCGAACGGGUGAGUAACACGUGAGUAACCUGCCCUUGACUUUGGGAUAACUUCAGGAAACUGGGGCUAAUACCGGAUAGGAGCUCCUGCUGCAUGGUGGGGGUUGGAAAGUUUCGGCGGUUGGGGAUGGACUCGCGGCUUAUCAGCUUGUUGGUGGGGUAGUGGCUUACCAAGGCUUUGACGGGUAGCCGGCCUGAGAGGGUGACCGGCCACAUUGGGACUGAGAUACGGCCCAGACUCCUACGGGAGGCAGCAGUGGGGAAUAUUGCACAAUGGGCGGAAGCCUGAUGCAGCAACGCCGCGUGCGGGAUGACGGCCUUCGGGUUGUAAACCGCUUUCGCCUGUGACGAAGCGUGAGUGACGGUAAUGGGUAAAGAAGCACCGGCUAACUACGU
rnacentral:rRNA from 1 species